rnacentral:rRNA from 1 species
UACGUAGGGGGCAAGCGUUGUCCGGAUUUAUUGGGCGUAAAGAGCUCGUAGGCGGCCAACUAAGUCAGACGUGAAAUCCCUCGGCUUAACCGGGGAACUGCGUCUGAUACUGGAUGGCUAGAGGUUGGGAGAGGGAUGCGGGAAUUCCAGGUGUAGCGGUGAAAUGCGUAGAUAUCUGGAGGAACACCGGUGGCGAAGGCGGCAUCCUGGACCAAUUCUGACGCUGAGGUGCG